UAAUACGGAGGGUGCGAGCGUUGUCCGGAAUUAUUGGGUUUAAAGGGUACGUAGGCGGUUAGAUAAGUCAAAGUUGAAAUGGUGCAGCUCAACUGUAGCACUGGCUUUGAUACUGUUUAACUUGAGUAUGGUAGAGGUAGGCGGAAUUUAUGAUGUAGCGGUGAAAUGCAUAGAUAUCAUAAAGAACUCCAAUUGCGAAGGCAGCUUACUGGACCAUAACUGACGCUGAUGUACGAAAGCGUGGGUAGCGAACAGGAUUAGAUACCCUGGUAGUCCACGCCGUAAACGAUGAUUACUCGAUGUGUGCGAUAGACAGUGCGCAUCCAAGCGAAAGCGUUAAGUAAUCCACCUGGGGAGUACGAUCGCAAGAUUG
rnacentral:rRNA from 1 species